ACGGGAGGCAGCAGUGGGGAAUCUUGCGCAAUAGGGGAAACCCUGACGCAGCGACGCCGCGUGCGGGAAGAAGGCCUUCGGGUUGUAAACCGCUUUCAGGAGGGACGAAGCUACUCGGGUGAAUAGCCCAGAGGGUGACGGUACCUCCAGAAGAAGCCCCGGCUAACUACGUGCCAGCAGCCGCGGUAAUACGUAGGGGGCAAGCGUUGUCCGGAUUUAUUGGGCGUAAAGAGCGUGUAGGCGGCCAGGCAGGUCCGUUGUGAAAACUCGAGGCUCAACCUCGAGACGUCGAUGGAAACCGUCUGGCUAGAGUCCGGAAGAGGAGAGUGGAAUUCCUGGUGUAGCGGUGAAAUGCGCAGAUAUCAGGAAGAACACCUAUGGCGAAGGCAGCUCUCUGGGACGGUACUGACGCUGAGACGCGAAAGCGUGGGGAGCGAACAGGAUUAGAUACCCUGGUA
rnacentral:rRNA from 1 species